GAGAAGGAAAUUGCUGAUUCAGAUUCAGAAGAUGAUAGGUCCAGUCUUCUGGAUUGUUCUUCUGAGUCCAGCGGAGACAGCAUUUCCAGUGGUUCAAGUGAAAUGGAACCACCUAUGAUGAUAAGUGUUACAGUGAGACCAAAAUUACCACGAGUGGAAGAAACUGAGAAACCACCAGAUUCUCCAGAGCCACUAGAUAGCUCGGAUAGAUCACUUGACUCUUCACCAAGAUAUUAUUAUUUGGAAGAUUCACAUGAGUACAAGAGUCAAG